rnacentral:lncRNA from 10 species
GGCUCUCUGCUAAAGAUAGUAGAAGUCCAGCCUCUCCCAGAGUCAGACUGGUCAUUGGUCAUCUCCACUCCUAGAAGAGUUUCAAACAUCUGUACUUUCAGACUGGAGGAAAUAAGGACCCAGUGGUUGUACUGGAGAAUUUUAUCCCUAAGCCCUGCCUGACAAUACAACGAAACUGACAUCAAGGACGAGUGAAGAAACAAUGAACCAGACAGUCUAUAACCAGCAUGGAACACUAUUGGAAUGCAGUCUCCAAAAGGGCAGGAAUUUUCAUCUCUCUUGCUUACAACCGAAACUCCAGCAUCUGAAGCAAUGUCUGGGGAAUAUCAGCCACUCCGUAAAUCUUUGUUGAGUGAAUGAAUAAAUGAGUACGAGAAAGA